rnacentral:rRNA from 1 species
UACGAAGGGGGCUAGCGUUGCUCGGAAUCACUGGGCGUAAAGCGCUUGUAGGCGGAUCGUUAAGUCAGGGGUGAAAUCCCGAGGCUCAACCUCGGAACUGCCUUUGAUACUGGCGAUCUUCGAGUCCGGGAGAGGUGAGUGGAACUCCGAGUGUAGAGGUGAAAUUCGUAGAUAUUCGGAAGAACACCAGUGGCGAAGGCGGCUCACUGGCCCGGUACUGACGCUUAAGAGCGAAAGCGUGGGGAGCAAACAGG